rnacentral:rRNA from 1 species
GAAUAUUGGUCAAUGGACGCAAGUCUGAACCAGCCAUGCCGCGUGAAGGAUUAAGGCCCUCUGGGUUGUAAACUUCUUUUAUCUGGGACGAAAAAAGGUUAUUCUUAACCACUUGACGGUACCAGAGGAAUAAGCACCGGCUAACUCCGUUCCAGCAGCCGCGGUAAUACGGAGGGUGCAAGCGUUAUCCGGAUUUACUGGGUUUAAAGGGUGCGCAGGUGGAUAUAUAAGUCAGUGGUGAAAUCUCCGAGCUUAACUCGGAAACUGCCGUUGAUACUAUGUAUCUUGAAUCUUCUGGAGGUAAGCGGAAUAUGUCAUGUAGCGGUGAAAUGCUUAGAUAUGACAUAGAACACCAAUUGCGAAGGCAGCUUACUACGGGAGCAUUGACACUCAGGCACGAAAGCGUGGGGAGCAAAC